rnacentral:rRNA from 1 species
GAUGAACGCUGGCGGCGUGCCUAAUACAUGCAAGUCGAGCGAACAGACGAGGAGCUUGCUCCUCUGACGUUAGCGGCGGACGGGUGAGUAACACGUGGAUAACCUACCUAUAAGACUGGGAUAACUUCGGGAAACCGGAGCUAAUACCGGAUAAUAUAUUGAACCGCAUGGUUCAAUAAUGAAAGACGGUUUUGCUGUCACUUAUAGAUGGAUCCGCGCCGCAUUAGCUAGUUGGUAAGGUAACGGCUUACCAAGGCAACGAUGCGUAGCCGACCUGAGAGGGUGAUCGGCCACACUGGAACUGAGACACGGUCCAGACUCCUACGGGAGGCAGCAGUAGGGAAUCUUCCGCAAUGGGCGAAAGCUUGACGGAGCAACGCCGCGUGAGUGAUGAAGGUCUUCGGAUCGUAAAACUCUGUUAUUAGGGAAGAACAAAUGUGUAAGUAACUAUGCACGCCUUGACGGUACCUAAUCAGAAAGCCACGGCUAACUACGUG